AAAUAUUCAUAGGUAACGGUUGGGCAUGCGUCCUAUUAGAUAGUUGGGGGGGUAACGGCCCACCAAGUCGAUGAUAGGUAGGGGUUCUGAGAGGAAGGUCCCCCACACUGGUACUGAGACACGGACCAGACUCCUACGGGAGGCAGCAAUGAGGAAUAUUGGUCAAUGGGCGAGAGCCUGAACCAGCCAAGUCGCGUGAGGGAUGACUGCCCUAUGGGUUGUAAACCUCUUUUGUAUGGGGGGAAUAAGCUUUACGAGUAGAGUGAUGACAGUACCAUACGAAUAAGCAUCGGCUAACUCCGUGCCAGCAGCCGCGGUAAUACGGAGGAUGCGAGCGUUAUCCGGAUUUAUUGGGUUUAAAGGGUGCGUAGGCGGCAUUAUAAGUUAGUGGUAAAAUAUUGGGGCUUCACCUCACUACGCCAUUAAUACUGUAGAGCUAGAGAACAGACGAGGUAGGCGGAAUAAGUUAAGUAGCGGUGAAAUGCAUAGAUAUAACUUAGAACACCGAUAGCGAAGGCAGCUUACCAGACUGAGUCUGACGCUGAUGCACGAGAGCAUGGGUAGCGAACAGGAUUAGAUACCCUGGUAGUCCAUGCCGUAAACGAUGCUCACUGGCCUUAGGCGAUAUAUGGUCU
rnacentral:rRNA from 1 species